rnacentral:rRNA from 1 species
CCUACGGGUGGCAGCAGUGGGGAAUAUUGCUCAAUGGGCGAAAGCCUGACGCAGCGACGCCGCGUGAGGGAUGAAGGUCUUCGGAUUGUAAACCUCUUUCAGCAGGGAAGAACGGUCACUGUCCUGAUCAUCAGUGCAUUGACGUUACCUGCAAACGAAGCACCGGCUAACUCCGUGCCAGCAGCCGCUGUAAUACGGAGGGUGCUAGCGUUAAUCGGAAUUGCUGGGCGUAUAGCGCACGUAGGCGGUGUGGUAAGUCAGUUGGCAAAGGCCAGGGCUCAACCUCAGUAAGGCCAGUGAUACUAGCAGACUUGAGUAUCAGAGAGGAUGGCAGAAUUCGUGGUGUAGCGGUGAAAUGCGUAGAUAUCAGGAGGAAUACCGGUAGCGAAGGCGGCAAUCUGGCUGGAAACUGACGCUGAGGUGCGAAAGCGUGGGUAGCAAACAGGAUUAGAUACCCCGGUAGUC